GCCAGGCACAGUGGCACAUGCCUGUAAUCCCAGCAGCUUGGGAGGCUGAGACAAGAGAAUCGUGUGUUCAAAGCCAGCCUCAGCAAUGGCGAGGCACUAAGCAACUCAGUGAGACCCUGUCUCUA
rnacentral:sRNA from 1 species